rnacentral:misc_RNA from 1 species
GAUGAAGAACGUAGCGAAAUGCGAUAAGUAAUGUGAAUUGCAGAAUUCAGUGAAUCAUCGAAUCUUUGAACGCACCUUGCGCCCUUUGACUAUUCCGAAGGGCAUGCCUGUUUGAGUAUCGUGAACACCUCAACUCUCAUGGUUUGCCAUGAUGAGCUUGGACUUUGGGGGUUUUGCUGGCCUUUGGUCGGCUCCUCUCAAACGGAUCAGCUUUCCAGUGUUUGGUGGCGUCACGGGUGUGAUAACUAUCUACGCCUGUGGUUUUCUGCCAGAUAACCUUCAGCGAUGGAGGUUCGCUGGGGCUCAUAAAUGUCUCUCUUCAGUGGAGACAGCUUUUUGGACGUUUGAUCUCAAAUCAGGUAGGACUACCCGCUGAACUUAAGCAUAUCAAUAAGCGGAGGA